rnacentral:rRNA from 1 species
CAGAUUGAACGCUGGCGGCAGGCCUAACACAUGCAAGUCGAGCGGUAACGACCACUUCGGUGGGGCGACGAGCGGCGGACGGGUGAGUAACGCGUAGGAAUCUACCCAGCAGAGGGGGAUAGCCCGGGGAAACCCGGAUUAAUACCGCAUAUUCUCUAAGGAGGAAAGGGGGCUUCGGCUCUCACUGUUGGAUGAGCCUGCGUAGGAUUAGCUAGUUGGUGGGGUAAACGCCUACCAAGGCGACGAUCUUUAGCUGGUCUGAGAGGAUGAUCAGCCACACUGGGACUGAGACACGGCCCAGACUCCUACGGGAGGCAGCAGUGGGGAAUAUUGCACAAUGGGGGAAACCCUGAUGCAGCCAUGCCGCGUGUGUGAAGAAGGCCUUCGGGUUGUAAAGCACUUUCAGUGGUGAGGAAGGCCAUAAGGUUAAUACCCUUAUGGAUUGACGUUAACCACAGAAGAAGCACCGGCUAACUCCGUGCCAGCAGCCGCGGUAAUACG